rnacentral:rRNA from 1 species
UCGAGAGUUUGAUCCUGGCUCAGGAUGAACGCUAGCGGCAGGCCUAACACAUGCAAGUCGAGGGGUAGAGGAAGCUUGCUUCCUUGAGACCGGCGCACGGGUGCGUAACGCGUAUGCAAUCUACCUUAUACAGGGGAAUAGCCCAGAGAAAUUUGGAUUAAUACCUCAUAGUAUGUGAGAAUCGCAUGGUUUUACACAUUAAAGUUCCAACGGUAAAAGAUGAGCAUCGCGUCCCAUUAGCUAGAUGGUAACGGUAACGGCUU